AGCUCUGCUCCGGUGCCUCGGUUGGAGCGAGCCGAACAAACGGACAAUCUAGUCACGGAAAACAAUUUAUCAAAACGCUGAAACAAUCGAUCUUUAAUCUUAGGUCUAGACUCCUAGGACUGACUGUCUAAGAAUCUCGACUCGGGAGAAUUCUACCGAAAAUCCGGCAGAACCUCCUCUACAACACGAACAUUACCCCCCGUAAAAACGGGUCCAGGACCUGCCAGAAGAACACUUCCAAUAUCCAACAAUUUAAACAACGGGAGUCGGGUCCCCAAACUUCACUAUCUCCCGACUCCGCCACACAGCACAAAACACAAGGCAGGCAACUGACAGACAAUUAUUUUUGACUCACAAUAACAUCAAAUACUCAAUAUAAA
rnacentral:lncRNA from 1 species